rnacentral:tRNA from 1 species
ACGGGUGUAGCGAAGCCCAGUAUCGCGCCUGCUUCGGGAGCAGGAGAUCGCCGGAGCGAAGCCGGUCACCCGUACCA